AGAUUCUUUAGUAUAAAUUAGUAUGUUUGAUUUCCAAUCAAAGGGUUUAAAGAAUUAA
rnacentral:tRNA from 1 species